UUAGGUAUUUUAAAUUGGAUAGUUUGAAGUGCUUGUUUUUUUAAAUUAAUUAAUGUAUACUGAUCCUUUCCUCUAUCAAAGCAUCACUGCGUCAAUAUGGUUCCUUGUCGAUUUAAUAAAGAAUUGACACAGACACAGAAUUUUUUUUUUUAUCUAAUGUAAGUAGCAACUGGAAUGUGGCUUGUCUCCUGACUAAUAUGAUCAUGGGGUCUUCAGAUCCGUUGACAAUCAUCCCAUUUAGCUCCUGGUUUUUGUUGAUCAAAAUAUUUUCUGUUCUAUUUUUAGAAUGACGGAGAAAUGACUUGGGUGAAGUGGUCAUCUUGAAUGCUGAUACAAAUACUGUCGAAACUCCAUUUGAUGAUUUAGAAAGUUUACCUCAAGAUGUCGUAAAUCGGCUGAGACGUCAAUUGAAAAACCGUGCUUUACUCUGGGAGACGGAGUAUCCAGAGCGUUCCUGCAAGCAUUAGUUUCAACUAAUCGGCGGUUACAGAGAUGGAUUGCGUUUUCAGCAAGGACAGGAGAUCACCUUCAACCCGGAAGCAUUUAUCAAUUCUCGACCUGCUUCCAUGCAACCAUUCCUGCGAAAGAUGCUUCACCUACAGAUUUUUUCAACAGUUCAUUGAAGAACGGUUAGAGCUGCUUAAUGCUGGUCUCGGUUUCUCAGAUGAGUUUGAGAUGGAAGCCUGCAGCUAUAUGGACAAAACUAGUUUCUAGACUGAAACAGCAAUACAAAGAAUGGACCUUCACUAUCAAACGAGACAGUACAGCGUUCCUGAGGAGUGUCAAAAACCGGGUACGAAUCUUCAUUUUUCACUCUUCCUCAUGCAGCUAAUACCAGAAUGAGUGUCCCCUUUUCUCCUCGGCUGUUUUAUUUCUGAUUAAUGUGUAGUUUUAUUUAGCUGGAAUGGAGUGUUUUUUUAACGCUGCUAACUAGAAGAGUUUGUAACAGAGAUAACACAGAUAUAACAGAGAAUCUUUAUCGCAACGUCACCAUUACUAGUGUUCGUAUUGCUGAUGCUAAACAAUAAGGGCCACAUGAGUAUUUAAGCUGUAACUUCUGUAGUGCUGUCAUGAAUUUUUUGGCUAUAAUUUGUUCAAUUGAGAUAGAUAACAAAGUAGUUUCUAAUUUAUUACAGUCAACAUCCUCCUCUCUCGUAUUACGAAAAAGUAAAAGAAGAAAAUAACUUACAAAAUUGAAGUGAUGCAGAAGAAAGAAUCUUCAAAUUCAUGAAUAAUCAAAUGUAGUUGCAUGCCCCGACAGAUUUUUUUGGGUAAUCAUUUAUUCUUAGUCUAGUUGAUUUAUGCCUCUUACUCCCUUUUCAUCUUGUUUUCUUUUUCAUCCAUUCCCUCUUCAGUUUAUGUUUUUGUUGAGCUCAAGUAUUUUAUUUCUUAUUCUUAUUGACAUUGCAGGCCAACCCAGCAGUUAAGUCCGCUGUUAAAACCGUAAGUAGUUUUUUUUUAAGUUGUUGAAUCAUAUAUUAUUUACGAUUGUCUCUGCUUUCUUCUCCCCAGACUCCCCAUGCUUGCAACAUUUGAAUUAAAUAGUUUUAUUAGAACUAGCUGUGAUUUUUCAUUUUAUUCCAGUGCUUGGGAUGUCAAAAUUUUGUGAUAAUACUUUUAAUAGGUGUGUGAUUUUACAUUCAAGUUAUUUUUUUCAAGUAGGUAUUAUGUCCUGUUGAACAGGACUGCCACAGUCAGGGAUUACUGGAAAAUAUCACAGGCAAUGACGAAAUAGUUGUGUAAAAAUUGUUGAGUCACCGUUUUUGCUUUCCAGAAUGGGUUUAAACGUUUUAAGCAACGAAUUUUGCCCGGAAAACUAUUCCAUAGUAAGUUUUUUUAUCCAUCCGGCAUAUCAUCAAUAGUCAGGGAAUUUUACAAACAUAUGUCAGAGGAAAUUUAUUUUCGAAAUUCUGUGGUACCUUGUACAUGAGAAAAUUUUGAUUAUUUACUUACAUUUCUUUCGUCGAUUGAUCAUCAAAUUUUUCAGUUUUUAUUGUUUGGUUAAUAUUUGAAGUCUAGGUCUUUCUGCGCAGGCAAUCUUUCACUAGUGCUGAGGACCUAUUCCCCCAGUGCUGAGGACCUAUUCCUCUGGUGCUAGCUGACAAUGAGUGCAAAGUAUUUGAGACAGAACCACAUUAGUUGCUGUGUUUAAAAAAUUUUCCUCUUACUUUGUUUUUUUAAAUAGAAAACCAAUCAAUAUUUUUGCGCGGAAAGUUAUAGAGAAAUCCCCCAUUUUAUUUACUGAAAUGGUUGAUUUUCCUGCAUCAAAAUGUGACAUUGAUUUUGCAUUGUCGCGAAUAUACUUAUCUUUUU
rnacentral:lncRNA from 1 species